CACGCAGUAGCUCAACGGAAAGAGCCCACCAAUCGAAGGUGGAGAUGGAGGUUCGAGUCCUUCCUGCGUUC
rnacentral:tRNA from 1 species